GACGAACGCUGGCGGCGUGCUUAACACAUGCAAGUCGAACGCUGAAGCACCAGCUUGCUGGUGUGGAUGAGUGGCGAACGGGUGAGGAAUACGUGAGUAACCUGCCCUUGACCCUGGGAUAAGCCCGGGAAACUGGGUCUAAUACUGGAUGCUACAUGUCACCGCAUGGUGGUGUGUGGAAAGGGUUUACUGGUCUUGGAUGGGCUCACGGCCUAUCAGCUUGUUGGUGAGGUAAUGGCUCACCAAGGCGACGACGGGUAGCCGGCCUGAGAGGGUGACCGGCCACACUGGGACUGAGACACGGCCCAGACUCCUACGGGAGGCAGCAGUGGGGAAUAUUGCACAAUGGGCGAAAGCCUGAUGCAGCGACGCCGCGUGAGGGAUGACGGCCUUCGGGUUGUAAACCUCUUUCAGCAGGGAAGAAGCCACAAGUGACAGUACCUGCAGAAGAAGCGCCGGCUAACUACGUG
rnacentral:rRNA from 1 species